CGAAUAGGUUAGUGGAAGGCAUUGAGAGCCUCAGUCAUAGAAAAUAAUUGUUCCUCUGUUUCAAUCCACAGCAAACACAGUUGUUAAUGUACCUCCACAGUCUAUCUAUGUUUGUGCCAAAAUAUGAGAGAAUGUGUUCCUGCUCAUUAAUGAAGGGACUACAUAAGAGUCCAUGCUGAUUCCGCUAAUCAGUAGGUCAAUCUGUAGAAUCUGAGGUGUGGGACAAAUCCAAGGAAGCAACUGGACAGCAAAAUUUCUUUAUUGGGGAUAGAGAGAAAAAGAAGAAAGAAAAGGCUGAAGAAGAAGAAGAGAGAGAUAAAAGACAAGAGGAUGGGUUAUCCAUUUACAUCACAUUCCAAACCCACAUCAAUAAAGUCCGGGUAUACAAUCAUGUUACACUCAAUAAUCAUAUCAUACAUAAAGUCAUUGUACCUAGGCUCUGCGUUACUGUGAGGCAGUCCCAGCAGCUUGUUGGUCAGCCAACCAGCAAUUCCACACUUUUCCAAACUUAGCAGGACAGCCUCUCGCCAUGUAAGUAAGCUUUUGCUUUGGAAGCACAUCAUUUAUGAGUUUUUUCCAAUAGCCAAUGGUUGGAGCUUCAAUGUCUUUCCAUGUCAAAAGGAUGGCUUUUUUUGCAAAGUGAAAAAGUUGUUGAAGGCACAGUCUAUCACAAGGAGGAAGGUUUAAUCCUUCGGUGUGCCCCAGGAGACAGUAUUCCGGAGUCCGAAUUACAGGCAGACCCAGUGCAAUAUCAAGAUGUGUAAGAAUCGCAGACCAAAAUCUUUGCACUUUAGGGCAUUCCCAGAACACAUGCAUGUAGUUACCCUGUUCACUAUUACAUUUUACACAUACAUCCGGAUACCCUUGAUUAAUACGUGCCAGCCUGUGUGGUGUUAAAUAGACUCUGUUAAUAAAUUUAAU